GAUGAACGCUAGCGGCAGGCCUAACACAUGCAAGUCGAACGGUAACAGAGGGUGCUUGCACCCUGCUGACGAGUGGCGCACGGGUGCGGAACGCGUAUCGAACCUGCCCCUGUCGGGGGAAUAGCCCAUGGAAACGUGGAUUAAUGCCCCAUGGCAUCAUGGAAUCGCAUGAUUUUGUGAUCAAAGAUUUAUCGGACAGGGAUGGCGAUGCGUGCCAUUAGUUAGUUGGUAGGGUAAUGGCCUACCAAGGCAGCGAUGGCUAGGGGCCCUGAGAGGGGGAUCCCCCACACUGGUACUGAGACACGGACCAGACUCCUACGGGAGGCAGCAGUGAGGAAUAUUGGACAAUGGUGGGAACACUGAUCCAGCCAUGCCGCGUGCAGGAUGACGGCCCUAUGGGUUGUAAACUGCUUUUGUACGGGAAGAAACCUACUUACGAGUAAGUAGCUGACGGUACCGUAAGAAUAAGGACCGGCUAACUCCGUGCCAGCCGCCGCCGUAACAC
rnacentral:rRNA from 1 species